rnacentral:rRNA from 1 species
GUGGGGAAUAUUGGACAAUGGGCGAAAGCCUGAUCCAGCAAUGCCGCGUGAGUGAUGAAGGCCCUAGGGUUGUAAAGCUCUUUUACCCGGGAUGAUAAUGACAGUACCGGGAGAAUAAGCUCCGGCUAACUCCGUGCCAGCAGCCGCGGUAAUACGGAGGGAGCUAGCGUUGUUCGGAAUUACUGGGCGUAAAGCGCGCGUAGGCGGUUUUCCAAGUCAGUGGUGAAAGCCCGGGGCUCAACCCCGGAAUAGCCCUUGAAACUGGAAGACUAGAAUCUUGGAGAGGUCAGUGGAAUUCCGAGUGUAGAUGUGAAAUUCGUAGAUAUUCGGAAGAACACCAGUGGCGAAGGCGACUGACUGGACAAGUAUUGACGCUGAGGUGCGAAAGCGUGGGAGCAAACAGGAUUAGAAACCCGGGUAGUCC